GGUUUUGUUUCGCAGGGCUGAAGCGCAGCUACACGUGCAACAUCUGCAACGUCACCCUGAACUCGAUAGAGCAAUACCACGCGCACCUGAAGGGCUCCAAGCAUCAGACCAACCUGAAGAACCAGUAGUAGCUCAUCAGUCGAGACAAGGGAAACCUCCGAGGCUGCUUCCGCGGGGAGGAACUGGUCAGCAAGGAGAGGAUGCUUUCUUGGACAAUGAUCCUGUGUGGAUUCGAUAAUUAACAUGUAACUAACCUUCGCUUUGGACAAGUACAUGGAAUUUUUUUUUUAAUUUUGUGGUGAGUUAAAAUAUUUCAAUGGAUUUUUUUACCCUUUCAAGAUAAUAUUUAUUCAGCACAGAGUCUAGAGUAUGAUAACUUAUCCUGUAAAUACAGCACUUAAUCAUCACUCAUCUUCAGAGACAGUGGAAACAAAAUAUUUUACUUUUUCAUAUUUAUUCUUAGAUUUCUUCCGAGAAUAUAAAAUAAUUCUAUUACAUUAUCCAUGAUAGUGAUGUAAUCAGUCUUCAAUCAGAAAUAAACAUACUUUCUUCACCUCCUCCAGCAUGGUUUGUGUCAACACAUACAGAGCAGCAAAAAACGAAUCACGGGGAUUGUGUAACGGAUGAAGUUUUUUCCUUUCCUCUUUGUCUUCAGAGAAGCAAAUGGUUCACUGAGCAAAGAAAACUAAAA